rnacentral:rRNA from 1 species
AACGCGUGGGUAACCUACCCUGUACACACGGAUAACAUACCGAAAGGUAUGCUAAUACGGGAUAAUAUAUUUGAGAGGCAUCUCUUAAAUAUCAAAGGUGAGCCAGUACAGGAUGGACCGGCGUCUGCUUAGCUAGAUGGUAAGGUAACGGCUUACCAAAGCGACUAUCAGUAGCCGACCUGAGAGGGUGAUCGGCCACAUUGGAACUGAGACA